AGAGUUUGAUCAUGGCUCAGGACGAACGCUGGCGGCGUGCUUAACACAUGCAAGUCGAACGGUCAAGAGGCUGGAGAUUAGAGGCAUGAAACAAGCCAAGAGAGAUCUUGCAUCUUGCUUCUAGUCUCUUGCCUCUUGAUAGUGGCGGACGGGUGAGUAACGCGUGGGUAACCUACCCUAAAUCCUGGGACAACAGCUGGAAACGGCUGCUAAUACCGGAUAAUCUCGAGAGAAGGCAUCUUCUUUUGAGGAAAGGUGGCCUCUGAAAAUGCUACCGAUAUGGGAUGGACCCGCGUCUGAUUAGCUAGUUGGUAAGGUAACGGCUUACCAAGGCUUCGAUCAGUAGCCGGCCUGAGAGGGUGACCGGCCACACUGGGACUGAGACACGGCCCAGACUCCUACGGGAGGCAGCAGUGGGGAAUCUUCCGCAAUGGGCGAAAGCCUGACGGAGCAACGCCGCGUGAAUGAAGAAGGCCUUCGGGUCGUAAAGUUCUGUCAUAAGGGAAGAAGUCUCUUUAUGUGAAUAAUGUAAAGAGGUGACGGUACCUUUUGAGGAAGCUCCGGCUAACUACGUGCCAGCAGCCGCGGUAAUACGUAGGGAGCAAGCGUUGUCCGGAAUUACUGGGCGUAAAGGGCGCGUAGGCGGGAUAUUAAGUUAGGUGUGAAAACUCCGGGCUCAACUUGGAGACUGCACUUAAAACUGGUAUUCUUGAGGACAGGAGAGGAAAGUGGAAUUCCUAGUGUAGCGGUGAAAUGCGUAGAUAUUAGGAGGAACACCAGUGGCGAAGGCGACUUUCUGGACUGUAACUGACGCUGAGGCGCGAAAGCGUGGGGAGUGAACGGGA
rnacentral:rRNA from 1 species